UACGUAGGGCGCAAGCGUUGUCCGGAAUUAUUGGGCGUAAAGAGCUCGUAGGCGGCUUGUCACGUCUGCUGUGAAAACUCGGGGCUCAACCCCGAGCCUGCAGUGGAUACGGGCUAGCUAGAGUGCGGUAGGGGAGACUGGAAUUCCUGGUGUAGCGGUGAAAUGCGCAGAUAUCAGGAGGAACACCGGUGGCGAAGGCGGGUCUCUGGACCGAUACUGACGCUGAGGCACGAAGGUCAGGGGAGCAAACGGG
rnacentral:rRNA from 1 species